rnacentral:lncRNA from 1 species
CACCAGGAUUGGAAUUGACAAGAUGUCUCUUCUAAUAGAACAAUACCGACAUUUCCUCACAAGUUAAUUAUAAAUUCAAUGGCGGAACCAAGGGUUGCGGCCGCUUCGGAAAGCCAGUCACAUCUGCAAAUAGAGCCUUCAGAAGACACCUGCUCACUUCACUAUAGGACAGAUGUAUGGAAGGACCUGAGCCCUAGGACCAUGCCUCAGGACUACCUGGCAUGAUGACUCCUUGCUGUCCCCAGUCCACCUGGCCAUGCUGCUGCUCCAGUUUCAACUGUUCUGCCUGCGGCUAUGGAACUCUGACCUGUUCACCUGAUGUGCUACCUGUCCC